AACGAACGCUGGCGGCAUGCCUAACACAUGCAAGUCGAACGAAUGGUUUCGGCCAUUAGUGGCGCACGGGUGAGUAACGCGUGGGAAUCUGCCCAGCAGUGGGGGAUAACCUCUGGAAACGGAGGCUAAUACCGCAUACGCCCCUCGGGGAAAGGCUUGCUGCUGCUGGAGGAGCCCGCGUCGGAUUAGGUAGUUGGUGGGGUAACGGCCUACCAAGCCUGUGAUCCGUAGCUGGUCUGAGAGGAUGAUCAGCCACACUGGGACUGAGACACGGCCCAGACUCCUACGGGAGGCAGCAGUGGGGAAUAUUGGACAAUGGGCGCAAGCCUGAUCCAGCAAUGCCGCGUGAGUGAUGAAGGCCUCGGUUGUAAGACGUCUUUCGUCCCACCGACCGAUGAUGACGGUAGUGGGA
rnacentral:rRNA from 1 species